rnacentral:rRNA from 1 species
GUGAGGAAUAUUGCGCAAUGGAGGCAACUCUGACGCAGCCAUGCCGCGUGCAGGAAGAAGGCGCUACGCGUUGUAAACUGCUUUUAACCGGGAAGAAACCCCAGGACGUGUCCUGGGUUGACGGUACCGGAGGAAUAAGCACCGGCUAACUUCGUGCCAGCAGCCGCGGUAAUACGAAGGGUGCAAGCGUUAUCCGGAUUCAUUGGGUUUAAAGGGUGCGUAGGCGGAGCGUUAAGUCAGUGGUGAAAUCCUGCAGCUUAACUGUAGACUUGCCACUGAUACUGGCGCUCUUGAGUGCGCUUGAAGUGGGCGGAAUGUGCCGUGUAGCGGUGAAAUGCUUAGAUAUGGCACAGAACACCAAUUGCGAAGGCAGCUCACUAAGGCGAUACUGACGCUGAGGCACGAAAGCGUGGGGAUCGAACAGGAUUAGAAACCCUAGUAGUCC